UAGCCUAUCUUCGAUGACUUAUGAGAAUAAGCUGAAAACAGCUUAUGAACAUGUCAUAAGCUGUUUUGAUAAGUUCUUGCCAAAUAACAGUCUCACAACACUUAUGCCAGUAUAUAAGAGCAAAUACAUCAACCCAAACCUACUAAAUCUCCUUGAAAGAUACCCUUAAAAUAAAAUAACUUUUCAUUAAAAUAAUUGUUGCUGCUGUGUAAAAAUAAACAAAUCAAAACAAAUCAAAAAAUCAACACAAAUCAAAAAAUAAACCUACUAACUUUCCUUGAAAGAUAAUUGUUACUAUCAUACUAAAACCAUAAUCAAAACAAAUCAAAAAAUCAACAAAUAUUAUAGUAAAAAUAAAUCAAAAAAUCAAGUGAAAAUAGUGAAAACCUAAUAACAGAAUUUUGUCCUUUGAUGACUUAUAGAAAGUAAAAACAGAAGAAACGUGAAAAUUGAUGACUUACAGGAUCUCGUUUGCUUUGAGACAGAGGGAUUUGACUUCAGAUUCUUUCAGUUGAUCUUCAAGGAAUUCGAUUUGGGUGUGAAAAGUGUUGUAAUUUGGGAACGGGGAAGAACAAGAGAGGAUGAGGUUUCAAUCAGG
rnacentral:lncRNA from 1 species